GACGAACGCUGGCGGCGUGCCUAAUACAUGCAAGUCGACCUUAGUUGCGAACGGGUUAGUUACACGUGGUUAACCUGCCCAUCAGAAGGGGAAAACAAUUGGAAACAGCUGCUAAUACCGUAUACUGAUGGAUGGACAGGCUGUGCAUUAGCUAGUUGGUGAGGUAACGGCCAACCAAGGCCAGGAUGCAUAGCGGACCUGAGAGGGUGACCGGCAACAUUGGGACUGAGACACGGCCAAAACUCCUACGGGAGGCAGCAGUAGGGAAUCUUGGGCAAUGGACGAAAGUCUGACCGAGCAACGCCGCGUGAGUGAAGAAGGUUUUCGGAUCGUAAAACUCUGUUGUUAGAGAAGCGGUAUCUAACCAGAAAGCCACGGCUAACUACGUGCCAGCAGCCGCGGUAAUUC
rnacentral:rRNA from 1 species